rnacentral:rRNA from 1 species
AACGAACGCUGGCGGCAUGCCUAACACAUGCAAGUCGAACGAGACCUUCGGGUCUAGUGGCGCAGGGGUGCGUAACGCGUGGGAACCUGCCCGUAGGUUCGGAAUAAAUCCCCGAAAGGGGUGCUAAUACCGGAUAAUGUCUUCGGACCAAAGAUGUAUCGCCUUUGGAUGGGCCCGCGUUGGAUUAGCUAGUUGGUAGGGUAAAAGCCUACCAAGGCGACGAUCCAUAGCUGGUCUGAGAGGAUGAUCAGGCACACUGGGACUGAGUCACGGCCCAGACUCCUACGGGAGGCAGCAGUGGGGAAUAUUGGACAAUGGGCGAAAGCCUGAUACAGCAAUGCCGCGUGAGUGAUGAAGGCCUUAGGGUUGUAAAGCUCUUUUACCCGGGAUGAUAAUGACAGUACCGGGAGAAUAAGCUCCGGCUAACUACGUG